UAAUUGCGACUUAUUGUGGGUCGACCAUCGGCGAAACAGCCAAUAUCCUAUUUUCCUCUUCAGUACCUCGGUUUUUGGAUUUAUUCCUGCAAUUGAAAUCCAAGGUUAGAAGAAAGGGGCAAAAGAUGUAUCAUCCAACUAGAGGUGGCGUUCGCGGUGGUCGAGAUCAAUUUAGCUGGGAUGAUGUGAAGGUCGAUAAACAUCGAGAAAAUUAUAUAGG